GGACGAAGAAGCCCAGAAGAGGAAAGAACAGGAGUCAGGCGUGGCUCUUUCUCUGGCACAGUUGACCUCCAAGGAUGUGUUCAUAGAUUUCACUCCCGAGGAGUGGGACUGUCUGGACCCUGCCCAGAGGACCUUGUACCAGGACAUGAUGGUGGAGACCCUCAGGAACCUGCUGUCUGUGGGUGAGGAUCACUUCCCUCUGAAGUAGGUAUCUACUUUGGGGUAUCUCUGCAUUUUCCCUCACUGUGUCUUGGGAGCCCUGUUUAUCUUGACUGAGCUGAAAACCUUGUUCACUCAGACAUGUAAGGCUUCGUGAUUGGCAUCAGGAUUUCAAACUUGUCUUUCCUUCUGAUGACCUGCCCACUGUGUGAUACACAAGGAGUUUUUCCAGAGCUUGAGUGUUUAUAAAGCUGAUUUCAAACUUUGAAAUAUCCAGAUGCCUAUUUAUACCCCUGUGUUCUUGGUUCAGUAACUCUUGGAAAGGAACUAGAUACCUGAUACAUACUAUACUGUAUAUUAUACUGUUCCCUGUGCAUUCAGAAGGAG